GAGUGGCAAACACAAAAACUGGUUAGGCACGUUAUUGCCCUGUGGAGCUGCCAGCAGCGGAGUCCUGCCUGGCUCUGAUCUCUGUCUUCUGUCCAGGUAGUGCUGCUUGUAUAUUGCCUUCUGUCAAAGCAACUCUCUACACAGGCAGUGCCCAGUUAAACUGCUGGGAAAUUUUCCCGUGGAGCAGACGGUGAAGGAAUGAGAGCAUCCCUGAGACCGGCCCAUGGUACAAAUGGAUUGCAUGAAUGGUGCAGGAAAUGACUGAAAUACAGGGACUGUGGAGAAAACUCUUU